CAGUGGCCGAGUGGAUAACGCGAUGGCGUUCGAAGCCAACGGUACUGGGUUCGAGUCCCAGAGUGAA
rnacentral:tRNA from 1 species